rnacentral:rRNA from 1 species
AACGAACGCUGGCGGCAUGCCUAACACAUGCAAGUCGAACGAGACCUUCGGGUCUAGUGGCGCACGGGUGCGUAACGCGUGGGAACCUGCCCUUAGGUUCGGAAUAACUCCCCGAAAGGGGUGCUAAUACCGGAUAAUGUCUUCGGACCAAAGAUUUAUCGCCUUUGGAUGGGCCCGCGUUGGAUUAGCUAGUUGGUAGGGUAAAAGCCUACCAAGGCGACGAUCCAUAGCUGGUCUGAGAGGAUGAUCAGCCACACUGGGACUGAGACACGGCCCAGACCCCUACGGGGGGCAGCAGGGGGGAAAAUUGGAAAAGGGGCGAAAGCCUGAACCAGCAAUGCCGGGUGAGUGAUGAAGGCCUUAGGGUUGUAAAGCUUUUUUACCCGGGAUGAUAAUGACAGUACCGGGAAAAAAAGCCCCGGCUAACUCCGG